GAGAAAUGACUCUCGGCAAUGGAUAUCUCGGCUCUUGCAUCGAUGAAGAACGUAGCGAAAUGCGAUACUUGGUGUGAAUUGCAGAAUCCCGUGAACCAUCGAGUCUUUGAACGCAAGUUGCGCCCGAAGCCAUUAGGCCGAGGGCAUGCCUGCCUGGGUGUCACA
rnacentral:rRNA from 1 species